UACGUAGGGUGCGAGCGUUAAUCGGAAUUACUGGGCGUAAAGCGUGCGCAGGCGGUUCGUCGUGUCUGAUGUGAAAGCCCCGGGCUCAACCUGGGAAUGGCAUUGGAAACUGGCGGACUAGAGUGUGGCAGAGGGGGGUGGAAUUCCGCGUGUAGCAGUGAAAUGCGUAGAGAUGCGGAGGAACACCGAUGGCGAAGGCAGCCCCCUGGGCUAAAACUGACGCUCAGGCACGAAAGCGUGGGGAGCAAACAGG
rnacentral:rRNA from 1 species